rnacentral:rRNA from 1 species
AUUGAACGCUGGCGGCAUGCCUUACACAUGCAAGUCGAACGGUAACAGGUUAAGCUGACGAGUGGCGAACGGGUGAGUAAUGUAUCGGAACGUGCCCAGUCGUGGGGGAUAACUACUCGAAAGAGUGGCUAAAACCGCAUACGACCUGAGGGUGAAAGCGGGGGACCGUAAGGCCUCGCGCGAUUGGAGCGGCCGAUAUCAGAUUAGCUAGUUGGUGGGGUAAAAGCCCACCAAGGCGACGAUCUGUAGCUGGUCUGAGAGGACGACCAGCCACACUGGGACUGAGAAACGGCCCAGACUCCUACGGGAGGCAGCAGUGGGGAAUUUUGGACAAUGGACGCAAGUCUGAUCCAGCCAUGCCGCGUGCGGGAAGAAGGCCUUCGGGUUGUAAACCGCUUUUGUCAGGGAAGAAACGAGUUUCUCUAAUACAGAGACUUAAUGACGGUACCUGAAGAAUAAGCACCGGCUAACUACGUGCCAGCCGCCGCCGUAAUAC